rnacentral:rRNA from 1 species
GAGUGACAGCUACUGAAUCAACGGUGUGCCAUCGUUGAUAAGGUAAGGGAAAAGAAAUGAUGUCACCUUACUAUUAGUGUCGUCCAAGUACUCGUGCCAGAAGACUCGGUAAGGCGAGAGACGCAAACGUUAGUCGUCUUAAUCAGGCGUAAAGGGUUUGUAGGCGGCUUUAAGUAUUUUUUAAACAAUUUUUUUAAAAAUUCAAUUAAAGCUAGAAUCAAAAAGAGGUCACAUAUAAAUAAUACUUGGUGUAAGGUUGGUAUCUUUAAAAACCAAGUAGAAUACUAACGGCGAAGGCUUUUUUCCAAUAAUGAUUGACGCUGAGAAACUAAGGUGAGGAUAGAAAAAAGGAUUAGAGACCCUCGUAUCCCUCACUGUCAACGAUGAAUGGUAGUUACUAGAUAAAUUAUUAUUGUAUUGUAAUUAAAGUAUAUUUAAUAAACACAAUAUCUAGAGACGAUGUUAACACGAAAACCAUUCCGCCUUGUGAGUACGACUGCAAAGUUGAAAACAAAAAAAUUAGUCGGUUUCGGAGCAAACGAAGUGAAGCAUGUUAUUUAAUGANAAAAACCCCGAA